rnacentral:rRNA from 1 species
AUGCUGUCCGCGCGCACCGCCGCCGCCGCGUCCCCCGCCGCCUCCCUGUGGAAGCGCGGAGGUGGCGCGGGGGCCCGCGGGGACGGAUGCACGAGCUGCCUGGAGGUGCGGAGGAGGGCCGCGGCGGUGACGGUCCGCGCGGCGCAGCCCAAGAGGGUCGAGGCGGUGGCGAUGGAGUCGGCCGCCGAGACCGCGGAGGCCGAGAAGGAGGUGGCCGCGGCGGGCGGCGGCGUGGAGGACAAGUACGGCGAGGACAGGGCCACGGAGGAGCUGCCCGUCACGCCAUGGGCCUUCUCCGUCGCGAGUGGUUACACCCUUCUGAGAGAUCCGCAUCACAACAAAGGACUGGCCUUUACCGAGAGGGAGCGGGACGCUCACUACUUGCGUGGCCUUCUUCCUCCAGGAGUUGUCUCCCAGGAUCUCCAAGUGAAGAAGAUCAUGCACAACCUUCGCCAGUACAAGGUCCCGUUGCAGCGCUAUGUGGCCAUGAUGGACCUUCAGGAGAGAAAUGAGAGGCUUUUCUACAAGCUUCUAAUUGAUAACGUGGAGGAGCUGCUCCCUGUGGUUUAUACACCAACUGUAGGUGAGGCCUGCCAGAAGUAUGGGAGCAUAUUUAGGCGCCCACAGGGUCUGUAUGUCAGCUUGAGAGACAAGGGGAAGGUCAUUGACGUGCUAAGGAACUGGCCUGAGAGGAACAUUCAAGUUAUUGUAGUCACUGAUGGUGAGCGCAUUUUGGGGCUUGGAGAUUUGGGUUGUCAGGGAAUGGGAAUUCCUGUUGGCAAACUUUCUCUGUACACUGCCCUUGGAGGAGUUCGCCCGUCAGCUUGCUUGCCUAUUACAAUUGAUGUUGGUACUAACAAUGAGCAAUUGCUCAAUGACGAGUUCUACAUCGGGCUUCGGCAAAGACGUGCUACUGGAGAGGAGUAUCAUGAGCUCAUGGAAGAGUUCAUGGAUGCUGUUAAACAAAUAUAUGGUGAAAAAGUUCUCAUCCAGUUUGAAGACUUUGCCAAUCACAAUGCGUUUGAUUUGCUUGCGAAAUAUAGCAAGAGUCAUCUUGUUUUCAAUGAUGAUAUCCAGGGAACAGCAUCUGUGGUCCUUGCAGGUCUGUUAUCUUCGCUGAAGGUUGUCGGUGGAACCCUAGCAGAGCACACCUAUUUGUUCCUUGGUGCUGGCGAGGCUGGAACUGGUAUUGCAGAACUCAUUGCUCUUGAGAUUUCAAAACAGACAAAUGCUCCAAUUGAAGAGUGCCGCAAGAAGGUUUUUCUGGUGGAUUCGAAGGGUUUGAUCGUUAGUUCCAGAAAAAACUCCCUUCAGCCAUUCAAGACAUCUUGGGCACAUGAGCGCGAACCUGUGACAACCUUGUUAGAUGCCAUCAAGUCCAUCAGACCUACGGUGCUGAUCGGGACAUCUGGAGUAGGCAGGGCUUUCACUAAGGAAGUUAUUGAAGCUAUGGCUUCUUUCAACGAGAGACCUGUCAUCUUCUCAUUGUCAAAUCCAACAUCGCACUCUGAAUGUACUGCUGAAGAAGCAUACAAAUGGACCCAGGGUCGUGCAGUGUUUGCCAGCGGAAGUCCGUUUGACCCUGUGGAGUAUGAUGGAAAGAUUCGUGUGCCUGGCCAGGCAAACAAUGCUUACAUUUUCCCUGGAUUUGGCCUUGGUGUUGUAAUUUCUGGAGCAAUCCGCGUACAUGAGGACAUGCUUCUUGCUGCCUCGGAAACACUAGCUGCACAGGCCACUCAGGAGAACUUCGACAAGGGAUCCAUCUUUCCACCCUUCACCAACAUCAGAAAGAUAUCUGCCCUCAUCGCUGCUAGCGUGGCUGCAAAAGCCUACGAACUCGGCCUGGCGACUCGCCUGCCGCGGCCGAGAGAUCUGGAGAAAUAUGCGGAGAGCUGCAUGUACACCCCUGUCUACCGCAGCUAUCGUUAA